GGUUUUAUAGUGUAGCGGUUAUCACUCCAGAUUCUGAUUCUCGCAGAAGUAGAGCUGUUCGGUUCUGGCGACCCCGGUUCGAUUCCGGGUACGACCU